AGUCCUGCAUAUUCACUUGGACUGAUUCUGUGUAGCCAGCUCUGUAUGCCUCUGACCAGCCAGCCCAGUCCCAAGAAACCCCAGAAUUCACCUCAAACUGUGUCAGCUUUCCUGGUACCUGUCUGUUUCUCCCCUUAAGUGUUUUUUGUUCCCCUGUUGAGUGUGUGCGCUUCUGGGGACAUGACCCACUGGCUCACCCAGUUUGGGUCACUGACCCAGUCCAGUGACUCUAUGAUGGCUUCUGUUCUGAUUAUUGAGCAGAACUGUAUUAUCAACUGCCUGUUUUUUUUUCCUGCACCUGCCAAAGUUAGGAUCAAACAUUAAUACCAUCUUCUUCCAUGUGCUGCAGUGCUGCACAUAUACCACCUGUGAAUUUCAAAGUACAGGUGAGGAUGUUAUCUAGCUGCAUUAUGUUAAAUGUAGCUUCCAGUAUUUUCUAAAUCUUGUCUAUACCAGAGACUAAAGAUCAAUUAAGUUGGUUUAAGGCUGCUCCUGGAAUCCAGAGUACCAAGGCUAUCUACAGUAGUGAAAAGUAUGAUAUUUAGAUUCUCAUUGUUGGUUAAUCAGGCUGAUUGAGCCCACCUGCCCUGCUCCAACCCACACUUACGGUGCUGCAGCCCUCCAGUCACUCUCUGACUCUGGCUGGCUCGGCAUGUGAGAGGACAUCUCCUCUUUUCCCUUUUUUACAUUAUUUUCAUACACUACAUAAUACACUCACCCAGACACCCACGGCACCAUUUAUAUUACAGAUGAACACUUUUCUUAUGUUGGGUUCUAUAUUGUUGUGACCAAAUAAACAUGUGGUAAAUACUCAA